rnacentral:rRNA from 1 species
CCUACGGGUGGCUGCAGUGGGGAAUAUUGCACAAUGGGCGCGAGCCUGAUGCAGCCAUGCCGCGUGUGUGAAGAAGGCCUUCGGGUUGUAAAGCACUUUCAGCGGGGAGGAAGGCGGUGAGGUUAAUAACCUCAUCGAUUGACGUUACCCGCAGAAGAAGCACCGGCUAACUCCGUGCCAGCAGCCGCGGUAAUACGGAGGGUGCAAGCGUUAAUCGGAAUUACUGGGCGUAAAGCGCACGCAGGCGGUCUGUCAAGUCGGAUGUGAAAUCCCCGGGCUCAACCUGGGAACUGCAUUCGAAACUGGCAGGCUAGAGUCUUGUAGAGGGGGGUAGAAUUCGAGGUGUAGCGGUGAAAUGCGUAGAGAUCUGGAGGAAUACCGGUGGCGAAGGCGGCCCCCUGGACAAAGACUGACGCUCAGGUGCGAAAGCGUGGGGAGCAAACAGGAUUAGAUACCCGUGUAGUC